AAGGCCCUUAAAGAAUAACCCCCUACCCUCUCCUUAACUUAUCGAAUAGGGGCGAGUCAUUCAUCUCGAGCUACUAAGCCAAGGGUAGCCACUCUAGCAAUUGAAUACCUUCCAGACCCGCUACUGAUGAAGAACAAUACUCUAGCUAAAAGAAAAGAAAAUGCAUUCCUGAAUGAAUUCAAUCCGGCCUGAGAGUGAAAUAGAGAAGUGAGAUAGAGAAGGGAGUUGUAGUUCUGAGUUUGUAGUUGGAGUUCGUGAGCCAAUAAGUGAGCUUUUUCAAUCCUCUUGAAUCAUAGACAUGAGGACCGUCGGAGCGGGACUUCUUGGGGAAAAAGAACUUAAAAAACUUCGUUUUUCUGAAGGAGUCGUCAUUUUAUAUCAGGAACGCUAUGUCAUUUACAACCCCGGCGUAUUUCGGAUGCUUGAAGGCCCCGCUGACCCGAAGUGAUUUAGAAAGAUUCUUCUUUAUCGAUGGUGAUCGGUCAUGGUAUCCAUAGCGUUGCUUCUUUUUCGGCCAAAUCCUAAUUUCGUUUUGCUUCCCCCCUAUCGCUAGGGCGUCGAGCCUGAUCGGCUCGACUCUUUUCCCUGCCCUCCGGCCUCUCACUUCGUUUUGUUCUUCUUCUGUAUUGUAGCUGGAAUGAAGACACCCGAUCGGCCCGACUUUCCCAAAUGCCCACCACCGGUCCUUCACCUUUCCGGGUCUGGAUUUUUCGCGUCGUUUCAGUCGUCGUGGUCGACGGGGAAGAAAGAAAUGAAUGAAUGUUCUUUUGGGAAAAUGUAUAAGAAUACACCUACCGAGACAGAAGCCAAAGGUGAGUCUCGCAGGUGGACGUAUCGAACCGAAAUAAAAUCUCAGAUUUACAUCUUUAUACACUAAUUUACCAUAAUAAUAAAUAGAGUCAAUGGUGACUCCGUCCAACCUAAGGGACUG